GUACUCUGUCUCUUUCUCUUCCCAAACUCCUGUGGCUCAGUGUCCUACGACUUCAGGCCUUCUCUGUUUGUGAGAUGAGUGCAGGUGAAAUGUACGAUAUAGAUUUUAUAU